rnacentral:rRNA from 1 species
UACGUAGGGUCCGAGCGUUGUCCGGAAUUACUGGGCGUAAAGAGCUCGUAGGUGGUUUGUCGCGUUGUCCGUGAAAACUCACAGCUCAACUGUGGGCGUGCGGGCGAUACGGGCAGACUGGAGUACUGCAGGGGAGACUGGAAUUCCUGGUGUAGCGGUGGAAUGCGCAGAUAUCAGGAGGAACACCGGUGGCGAAGGCGGGUCUCUGGGCCGAUACUGACGCUGAGGAGCGAAAGCAUGGGUAGCGAACAGG